rnacentral:misc_RNA from 1 species
UUUGAAAUGAAAGUGCAGAUGUGAACUUGUAAAUUUUAAGAGAAUCGGGAACUACAAAACAUUCAGUUUAAUGUUUAAGUUAUAAUCAACAAUGGAGAACAACAAACAAACGAAUGGAGAAGUGGAAGACAAUUCAGAAACUGAAGACAGUGGAGACUAUCGUGAGAAUUCAGUGAACAGGCCCAGUUUGGGAUCAAUAGGAUCAGAUGGGGAUUACGAUGAUGAAUUGGGGGUGCCUGCUUCUAUUAAAGUUGUGGAUAUGGGUGAUGGGCCUGUUGCUAUUGAGAACUCAGAUGAUGAAGUUGAAGAUGAAAGAACCGAACGCAUUGGAUAUAAAACGCUGCACGAUUACAAAAAAUUUACUUCCAUAGAUAGAACUGUCUUUAUUCCAGGUGUCGAUAUAACUGUAGCAAUAACUGAUUAUGAACGAAAUUUGACGUCCCACAUGCUCAAUCCGAAUCUAUAUACGAUUUCUAUUGUCCACGGCAACUUCCAUUGGCAAAUUAAAAAAAGAUACAAACAAUUACAAUCGUUACACCAACAGUUGAUUUUGUUCAGAACUGGCUUAAAUAUACCCUUGCCGACGAAGACGCACAAGAACAAAAGGAAAUCUCUUAAAAUGACCGGGAAAAAGUCAAAAGGGAGCAAAAGAAAAAUGGCCUUACCGCGGUUUCCCAAAAAACCGGAGGUUUUAGUAACUUACGAUCGGAUAGGUAACAGAAUGAAACAAAUAGAAAGCUACUUAAACAACUUAUUGUCAAUACCAAUUUACAGGAACCACCCCGCUACCAUAGAGUUUUUGGAAGUAUCUCAUUUAUCGUUUGUUGAAGGACUGGGACUGAAAGGUAAAGAGGGGUUUGUUAAAAAGCGAACAGGAAGUACGCACCCCGGACAAACUGGGUGCAUUUUCUUCGGAUUGUGCCACUGUUUUUGUUGCGUAAGGUUGCAACACAUGUGUCACGAUAUGAUGUGUACGCGAUACGUAAAACGUUGGUUCUUCGUGAAAGAUACCUAUUUCGGAUACAUCAAUCCAGACACUGGACGAAUCAGAGCGGUCGUUUUGUUCGAUCAGGGCAUAGAAGUAGCCGCCGGAUUAUACGCUACUGGAAACAAGAACGGAUUUCUGAUUCAGACCUUGAGCAGAGAGCUCAGAUUCAAGUGUUGGACCAGGAGGAAAAAUAAAGAAUGGACGGAUCAUUUGAAAGAAAUCGCAGCUACUUCAGCUAGAGAAUUCGUUCAACCGAAUAGAUAUCACUCCUAUGCCCCAAUACGAAUCAAUGUCGUGGCUUCUUGGUUUGUGGACGGAUCAGCGUACAUGUCCUCUGUGGCGGAUGCUCUGGAAAACGCAAAAGAAGAAAUUUUUAUUACCGAUUGGUGGCUCAGUCCCGAAAUAUAUCUGAAGCGGCCAAUCAUGCACGGCGAGUAUUGGCAACUGAAGAGGAUAUUAGAAAGGAAGGCGGAUCAAGGAGUCAAAGUUUACGUACUACUUUACAAAGAAGUCGAACUGGCUUUGGGUCUAAACAGUUUCUACAGCAAAUGGAAACUGACGGAGACGACGCCCAACAUAAAAGUCCUCAGACAUCCCGAUCAUGCCAAAACCGGUAUUUUUCUUUGGGCGCAUCACGAGAAAAUGGUGGUAGUAGAUCAGACUUACGCCUUCGUCGGAGGAAUUGAUCUUUGUUACGGACGAUGGGAUGAUGACAAACACAGGUUAACAGAUUUAGGUAGCAUGACACCUUCCGUGGACGUCACAACUGUCAAGAAAAAGACAUCGACUGUACCGGGCGGUGGAACGAUCUAUCCGAUUCCAGUACCUUAUUAUAUGCAAAAACACGACGAACAACAAACCGAACCUAUCGAGAUGGAGGUGAAACCAACUUUACCUCAAUUAGAGCCAGGCGAUCAUUUGAUAAUAAAUAGCAAACCCCCAGUCAAGAUGAACACGCCUGAGCUGGAAAGAAAACAUCAUCACAGUAACGUUAUUGACAGUCUGAAACAUAAAGGGAAGGAACUAAUUCAUUUAGUUUAUACACCGCAUGAACAUGAAAUGUUACGUGAGUCCGACACCUCUUUAAAUUUGGUAAACCACGAUGUAACUGACGGCAGCAAUCCGAAAGAAAUGGUUGAGGAAUUAGAUGGAUCUGCCAAACUUUGGAUCGGUAAAGAUUAUGUGAACUUUAUAGUUAAAGAUUUUACUAACUUGGAUUCUCCGUUUGACGAUUUUAUCGACAGGAUGACUACGCCGAGGAUGCCUUGGCACGAUAUCGGAAUGUGCGUCUUCGGUGAUGCUGCUAGAGACGUAGCCAGGCAUUUUAUUCAAAGAUGGAAUGCUACGAAACUGGAAAAGGCCAAAAGCAACAACGCCUACAACUACCUACUACCGAAACAAUACGAAGGCUACAAAACGUUACCCAUAGAAUUCCCUAACAAACAACACAAAGUUUCGUGCCAGGUCCUUCGAAGCUGUAGCUGCUGGUCCGUUGGAUAUCUAGAACUCGAUAUGGUGGAACAAAGCAUCCACGAGGCGUACAUAGAUAUCAUAACGAAGGCUCAACAUUACAUUUACAUCGAGAACCAGUUUUUUAUUUCCUUGUCUCGCGAUAACGGCUCCACGAAGAAUCAAAUAGGCGAAGCGUUGUUUAAGAGGAUACUUAGAGCCCACAAAGCCAAAGAAGUUUUUCGGGUAUAUGUAAUAAUGCCAUUGUUGCCGGGAUUUGAAGGAGAAGUUGGGGCUCCGUCUGGAACCUCGCUGCACGCCAUUACCUACUGGAAUUAUGCAUCGAUAUCUCAGGGUGAUGACGCCAUUCUAAAAAGACUAGAAAAAGCCGGUAUCAAGGACCCUUCGCAAUACAUAUCUUUCUAUGGUUUAAGAACACAUUCCACGUUAAAUUCAGAACCGAUCACUGAACUAAUAUACGUACACUCGAAAUUAAUGAUAGUUGAUGAUAAAAAGGUCAUCUGCGGCUCAGCCAAUAUUAACGAUAGAUCACUGAUUGGUAAAAGAGAUUCAGAAGUGGCUGUUCUAAUAGAGGAUGAAAUCUUCGAAGACGGUGUCAUGAACGGAAAAACUUUCCCUAGCGGAAAAUUCGCAGGUAGUCUCAGGAAAUACCUUUUUAAGGAACACCUUGGUAUACUUGAGAAACAAACUAGCCAGUUUUUAAAUAUAGAUGUGACCGAUCCAGUCAUCGAUUCCUUUUAUAAAGACGUUUGGUACAAAACCGCAGAGUUGAACACCGAAUUCUACGAAAAAGUCUUCCAUUGUUUACCUACCGAUAGUGUCGAGACGUUUGCUGAUUUAACAAAGAAUCGUGAGGGAAAACCGCUGUGGGUGAAUGAGUUUUCCAGAUCUGAUAAAAUGUUGGAAAGUAUACAGGGCCACAUUGUAUUACUGCCUUUAAAUUUCCUCAAAAACGAGUACCUCCAACCGGCCGUCAGCUCUGCAGAGGGAUGGAUGCCCACGUCAUUGUGGACUUGACCAAUACCGAAAUUUUUAAUUUUUGUUUUUGUCAAAGUGACUAAAAACACUUGCCAGAUAUUUAUAUCAACUUUAAUAUUUUUGUUGUGAUUUUAAAAGUCAAAAACAUUUACUGUUAGGAAUAUUUGCCUUAAAAUGUACUAGAAUCAGUUAGAAAUUCGCUUAAGAGUCUAAUUUUUUGAGAUUUUAUAUAAAAAAAAAAUUACAUCAAUCAACGGGCUCGAUAGAGCACCAAAAAUGUUACAAGCGGAUCGGUACGCACCCGAUGAAAUGUAGUUGUAUGUAAAAAGCGACUCUGUCGUCGACUUUACAUAGUAACAAGGCAUUUAGUCAACACAUACACUACACACAACACCACACUGCAUACAGGGUUAACCACAAAAGAUCCAGAUAGGUCGUGGUGGAAUCCUUGUAUGAUACAUUACUCAAUAAAUACUCAACCUCUUUUUAUAGACAAUAAUUGUACAGAAAUUACUUUUUAUACACGUAGACCAAGAAUUGAGAAGAAUGUACUCAAUUUUUCUGUUAUGUAUUAUAAUAAUAUAUAACAGGAAUAUUUUUAGCAUUGUUUUAGUAUAUCCAAUUUUAUAAGUUUCCUGCGGAAACAUAAGAUAUUAGCCCGUUGAUAUUUUUUUAUAUAUAGCAUUUUACCAAAGUGAUACUCAUAAUUUCUUUUUUACUCAUCAUAUUAUGGUCAAUCCGUCAUUGCGAGGUAUUUUUUAAUCCGUUAGCAAUGUUUCUGGCCCCACGUUGUACCCCCAAUUUGAGGAUUGCUAUUUUUUGUUGGGUUUACCUUUUCGUAUUUAGAAAUAUAUUUACUAUAUUGAGGUUCUUUUAAUAAUUUUGUCGAUACUCGAUCAUUAAUGCCUAAUGCAUAGGACUACGUGUAGCACUACGUAAACAGAGAUUUUAGUAUUCAAUAAAAAGUAAGAACUCCGUAAUAAUCUCGUCAAUCCCCAUAAGUAGGUUGUCUACAUUUUAUUUCAUAGUAAUUUUGAAUUUUAGGGUUUUUUUCAAAUUUUUGGUGGUUAUACUGUAAGUCACCGAUAAAACUUGAUGAACAACUAAAGGAUGAAUACUUUGUUGUACUGUGAACGUAAUUCUGAUGUUCAUAUGAUUCUAAAUAGUUCUUUUUAUUGUGUCCAUAUAUUUUGUUUUUGAAAGGAAGUUUGACAUGGUUAAAAUAUGUGGUAAAACAACGUCAUCAGUUAGCAUGCCUGUGAUAUCAAUGUUCCUAUUUGGUGAUUCGAUGGACAUGGGUCUAAACCCCUAGUCAGACAAAUUUUUUGUUUUUUAAUUACUUUAUGUUUAGGCUUUCCUCUGACUAUAAACUGACUAAUGCAUCAAACCUUUUUUAUUCGAAUAUCUUCCAAAGUUCAAAUGUAUAUUUUGUAAUUUUUUUAAAAAAUUGGAAUACUUUCACUAAGAAAUUGAAACAAUUACAAAGCUUUUGAUUUAUAUACAUUUUCAUAGCCUCCCGAAUUGGGAUUACCAGCCCCCUUUCAAUACUUGUAUAGUUCAAACCAAACCCUUUUUUGUGUGUCAUAGUUUAUCAAAUUCUCUGUAACACAUAAGUUGAAGUGACAGAAAACAAGGUACGUCCUUGAUUAUACACAUUUAUUACAUUUAUUCUAGUUGUUGAUAGAUGGCGCUAUAAUCGGAAAAAAUUAUUUACCUACUUUCUAUACGACUGUAAUCUAUACAAUCUAUGCGACUAUACAAAUCAAAGAAUAGAACUUUUUAUAAAUACAAUAAACACUAUUCAUCUGUUUUUAUACCAAAUUGUAAUAAAAGUAUUAUAAACCCCCUCUGUGGCUCAGUGGUAAGAGCGCCUACCUUUGGAUCGAAAGGUCCGAAUGGUCGUGAGUUCGAAUCUCCAGGUCGAAUUCCAGGGUCAGGGAUUUUUCGUUUAUUAUAAAUUAAUAAAUGUAGUUUCUGUCGUUGUGGGAUCGGUACUCACCGGAGGGACCGCAGACGUUCGGAUACAAUUAGCGUCUCUUUGCAAAGACAAUGACGUCGACUUUGCAAAGUAACAAGACACUUACUCAACACACACAUUACACAUGACACUAGGUACCUGAUUGCAAAAAUUCACCGUACCUACCAUGCCAAUGGCCAUUACUUGUCGAGGCAUUAGAAAAAAAGUUUUAUAAUGCAAUAACCUUUUCAUAGUUGGCUGAUUACGAUUCUGACAACUGUCACAUUUAACUAAAAUCUCAUGCAAUGAUUCGCGACAUUCUUGAAAUCAUAUAUGACGUCAAAAUUGCACUGAAAGAAGGGUUUGGUUUGCGGUGUUCAGGCGGGACUCCAUGAUGCUGUUGCCUUUUUCUGACUUACUUAUGCAUAUAGAAGCUCCAUAAAGACACGGGUUCAUCUUCCAGUUGACUAGAUUCAAUGAGGUGGCAUUUGGCCUAUUCCACUGCAACCUUUGUGAUCCUCUAUCUCUAGAAUACAUUCUCGAGCAAGGGCGGAUCCAUGAUAAUGAUAUCUUUUGAAUGACAUUGAAAAGUGUGUGAAAAGUGCCUUAAAACUUACUUUUUUAACCCUAAUUUUUAAAAAGUUUACCACAGACCCCCUCAAAUCGCUGCUGGAUCCGCCUUUGGCCUGAUUUUUUUUAAAAGGUCUAAUAGCUUUGAGAGUGUACCUUCCAUGAAAACACUGCCAAUGGCUUUUCUUCGCCUAAUGCAAAAAACCUCACAUUUGCCAGACUGUCACUCUAGCACCAAAUGUGCUCUGCUGUUUCUUCCUCUAGGUGAGAGAAUCUGCACAGGUCAUCAUCUGCCAAUCCCAUCAGCUUCAACUGUCUAUUCAGCUUACAGUCAACUACCCUAAUAACACCAAACAUUCCAUGUAUGUUCCUAGAAUGUAGGUACACACAGGAUAUUGAAAACAUUCCUGGAGUGUCCUCAAAAGCACAAGAACGUCCCCUAACUGUUCCAGGAAAGUCCUCUGUCAGCAUUUUAAACAUUCCCUGAAUGUCUUAUUGGAACAUUCCAUGAAUGUCUACGAAUGUUCUUUGGACAUUCACAGUAUAUUUUUUAGACAUUGCCUGGAUAUAGUCGCUGAUGUGACAUAAUACCUCCGAUUUGUUUUUUCGUGAGUUUUGUAAGAGAGACUAAAAACUUGUUUUACAGUCACCUCCUGUUUUCAUAUGAUAUUUUUUGACAUGUUUUGUAGUAAAUUCAACUAUCUAUUUACUACAAAACAUGUCAAAAUUUACAUGUGAAAACAGGAGAUGACCCUACAAAUGGUUUUUCGUCUCAUACAAAAUUCAUGAAAAAGCAGAUAGGAGGUAUUGUCACAUCACCGAGGAUAUAGCAGAAGUAUAUGUGGCCAUACCAAAUAAUACAUCCUUGAUAAAUAUAAACAUUUUUAUUGCACAAAAUCUUGUCAUAUAUUUUUUCCAUAAUCAUCACUAGGCUGGGUGAUGAUUCAUUGUGUUGAAUUGUACAUUACAAUUACAAUCUGGUCAUAACUGACCAAUGAGCAAUUUUAAUUUAACCUAAAUUACUAUGCACUGUUCCUUAAAAUGAAGAGCUUACCCCACAGCGUCCCUUAUCUAAUCUAACAAGAUCGUGCACUAUUCUAACAUACACAGGCACACAAGCACUAUGCUCUGCUUUUCACUAUCACCUAUCACUCAAACAAGUACAAAAGGCUUUAUCCUCUUCAAUCUUCUAGUUUGCCCAGUAGUAUUGAGGGGCUGGAUUUCCUCAAUAUUCUCGUACUUAUGAAGUUGUUGCUCGUGUUGUUCCUGCCAUCUUCUUGAUGAUUAUAUCUAGGUCCCAUUCCUAGGUCCUUAUGGAGAUCACUGUUUGUCACAUACCAAGGAGCAUCUACAAUAUUUCUCAGUAUUUUGUUCUGGAAUCUUUAUAUAAUUUUUAUAUUACUUGGUCUAUCCAUAGGCCCAUAGUGGGCAUCCAUAAAUCCAUACAGGUCUUAAUAUUUGUUUAUAAAGUAAUAACUUAUUAUGCAUCGACAAUGUGGAGUUUCUUCCAAUUAGCCAAUACACUUUUUAUAUCCUUCUUUUGCCUUUCAUAGCCACAAGGCUAUACGUUUCCUUCCUGGUUUUUUUGUAGACCACUUUCAGCUGAUUCUAAAAAAAAUAAAAUGAAUGGUAAGUUUUCUAUUCUUUACAAUUAAAAAUCAAAAGAAAUAGGUACUAUUUACAGGUAAUAAUAUGCAUAAAUAAUUCGUUUCAUAAAGAAUAAAGAAAAUUUGAAAACGGAUUUUAUAAUACUUACAUAAUUGUUUAAACAAAAGAGAUCCAGCCAGAGCAAAACUAACAGACAGAACAGCAAAAAAAGCCACUAAUUUCCAUUUUCUCAAUAUUCUUUACCUAUGCGUUUUCCAAUCAGAAAUUUUUAGGUUAUCAUGAAAUGUGAUGACCACGCGACCUUACAUAGAUACACGCGCGGCAAAUUUGAAAAUGAACGCAAAUUGAAUAGUAAAUGGCCUCUCUUAAAAUAUAGGACAUUAGUAUGUUCAUAGAAUGUCUUGUGGUAACAUUCCACCAAUAAUUUAAUCAGAUGUUCACCGAAUGUUCCUUGAAUGUUCAGGACAUUCAAAUAUUAAUAGAACUCUGAUAGUACAUUCGUAGAAUCUUUUGUGUUGUAGAUGUGACCAUGUUCUUGUCUUUGCUUAUUAGGUCUGCUUUAAAUUUUGGCGAAAGGAGUCGACACACCCGACGGAAUUAUCUCCUAUAGGGUCAGGUAUAUACACUAUAAGUAUUUUUUUAUUAUUUAUUCAGAUUCAUUUUUGAAAAUACUGAUAUACGUAACAUAGUUUAUAUAACUCAUUUGUUGGUCUACCUUAAAUCCUAUACCUACAUUCUGAAAUUUUUUAUAUAUACAUACUUAAUAUAUACAUGGUCGGUCUUGACGGUCCAGUUAGCUGGGGCUCAGUCGAUCGACAAGUUUAGUGGAUUUGCGAUUUGCGGUCGCUGGUUCGAGCCUCAGCUAGGUCAUGAAAUUUAUAAAAGGCCAACGCCGUAGUAUAAAACUCAAUAGAGUCUACGGCUUGGUCUGGAAUAAACUGGCGUCUGAUCGACCUAUGGAGGAGCGGUACGGGAAGGGAUAAGGGCUUCCGGCUUGGUGAUACUCCUCCAUAGAUCCCUACCGAAGGGCGUUGACGCCUAAGAACGGUGUAUACAUACAUAUAUACAUAUUUUUAUACAAAUAUUUUAUAUUUUAAAUACAAUCAGGUCAAUUUUGGUACCAUUCACUCUUUUAUGUGACUUGGUACUCUGUUAUACAUGUUAUUAGUUGUUGUGUAAUUUAAUAUUGAAUGUAAAGUAUACUGCUACAUAGGUUGCAGGAGAAUCGGCUUUCUCCAAACACUGCCAAACAAUGGGAUAUACUCACAUCACCAAAGUUACUUCAUUAUCAUCGAAAGUCGAUAGACAAGACUCACGUGUUGGUGAUCGCAAGGAUACAUCAAGACUUCUCUAUCGAUUUUCCAACCAAGCCAAUCCAAACCAAACUCUAUGCAGCUGUCAAAAAUCUAAUAAUGGCCGUCUCGUGCUAAAAUUUGACAUGUAUGCUUAAAAAAUAUUAGGUCAAAACGGCAAACAAGUGUAUGUUCUCAAAAAAAAUUGAUAGUGUGUAAAAAAUGUUUUAUUAUCAGCUAAGUACUUUCAACACAUAACGUGCCAUCAUCAGAGCUUCCUAAAAGGACAUUUAAGAUAAGAUUUUUUAUAAAAAGAAAAAUUGAAAAUCUUACGUCCUCUUAUAAAACCUUCAUAGAAGAGCAAUUGCUAAACGACACAAUAAAAAACAUAGAUUCUGGGCAAAAGCCACAGAUAUCGGGUAUAACAACCCCUUAAAAUGAAUAAAUUCGUGAACAGCUGAGGAGGACUGUCAUUCAUUAAAAUGAUAAAGAAGGAACCGCAAUCUUAUGCGACAUCUACAUUCGUAAAUAAUAAUUAAAAAGUAAUUAAAAUUGAAAAUGACUAAAAAGACAUGUAUUUAUGAUUAAAUGAAUUUUAAGUUAAGAUACUAAAUUUUAAAGUUAAAUUUUCAAAAAAUUAUUGUUAUUAAUAUUGAAGUGAAAUGUUAACGUGUAUAUAAGUUACUAAAAUUCUUUUAAAAACAAAACUGUUAUACUUUGACCAAAUGUGGAAGAAGGUAGAUGAAAUCAAACCUAGGAGAAAUCUCAUUUGAUAAGUUCAGAGUUCUAAAACUGUUAUUUUAUAAAUUAACAACCUUAUAUAUUUAUAAAAUAAAAGUUUUCGAACUCUGAACUUAUCAAAUGAGAUUUCUCCUAGGUUUGAUUUCAACUUCUUCCACACUUGGUCAAACUAUAACAGUUUUGGUUUUAAAAGAAUUUUAAUAACUUAUAUACAGUUGAGUCCGCGAAUCUUUACCCGUGCGUCAUCAUUUAAAGCAUACGAAAUAAGUCGGAAAUUGAAAUUUACUAAACGCAACAGCAAGUCACAACUGUACACGUUAACAUUUCACUUCAAUAUUAAUAAUAGUAAUUUUUUGAAAAUUUAACUUUAAAAUUUAGUAUCUUAACUUAAAAUUAAUUUAACCUAUACAUGGCUUUUUGGUCAUUUUCAAUUUUAAUUAAUUUUUAAUUAUUAUUUACGAAUAUAGAGGUCGCAUAAGAUUGUGGUUCCUUCUUUAUCAUAUUAAUGAAUGACAGUCCUCCUCAGCUGUUCGCGUGGGCUCAAAAUGGUUUGACUCAGCCAUGUUGUCUUUUUUAAUAUAUAAAAGAAUUUAGAUGUGAAUUUAUUCAUUUUAAGGGGUUCUUAUACCCGAUAUCUGUGGCUUUUGCCCAGUAUCCAUGUAUUUUAUUGUGUCGUUUAGCAAUAAUUACUCUUCUAUGAAGGUUUUAUAAGAGGACAUAAGUUUUUCAAUCUUUCUUUUUAUAAAAAAUCUUAUCUUAAAUGUCCUUUUAGGAAGCUCUGAUGAUGGCACGUUAUGUGUUGAAAGUACUUAGCUGAUAAUAAAACAUGUUUUACACACUAUCAAUUUUUUUGAGAACAUACACUUGUUUGCCGUUUUGACCUACUUAGAAGUGUGUACAUAGUCCAGAAAGCCACUGCGCAUCCGCUAGGAAAAAUAUUCUAAUUCGGAUUUUUUGCACAAUCUUACUCAAAAAGGACUCCUUUUAACAAAUUUGCAUGUUGCCAGGACCAAAAGGUGGUCAAAAAUUUUUUAAACGUUUUUUUUUUUUGUUUUUUUUUUCUAAAAUUAUUUUUUUUGCAUGGAAAAAAGUUUUUUAGGUUUUUUGGAUUAUUCCAAACAGAAAAGGUCUUUAGUGACUUUUCUCUAAAAAUGAUAGUUUUUGACAUAUAAGCGAUUAAAAAUUGAAAAAUUGCGAAAUCGGCCAUUUUUAACCCUCAAAAACUAUGUGAAAAACUGAAAAUUUGAAUGUUGCCAAGGCAGGUAGAUAUUCUUUAAACAUCGAUUAAUGAAACCCCGAAGAGUUUUUUGCAAUACAAUAUUCAGAACUCCUUUGUUUUUUAAUUGCUAGUCAAGCGUACGCGACACUAUUUUCCACCGACAGUAUGGUGCAAAUGAAAGGAAUAAAUUCGUUAUUUCGUAAACCGGCAACUCUAAGGAAAAAUCCCGAAACAGGUCGAUUUUUAUUUUUAAGUUAUGAUAUUGUGGCAUAUAUGGUAUACUAGUGACGUCAUCCGUCUGGGCGUGUUGACGUAAUCGAUGAUUUUUUUAAAUGAGAAUAGGUGUCGUGUGGUAGCUCAUUUGAAAGGUUCUUCAAUUCUCUAUUCAGUAAUGUAAACAUUUACAUAAUUAUUUAUACAGCGUGUCCUUCUACUUCUUUUUUUGUCAAAUAAUUUAAUUUAAUAAAAAAUUUUUGGGCACCCUGUACAAAUAAUUAUGUAAUUGUUUAUAUUACUGAAUAGAGAAUUAAAGAACCUUUCAAAUGAGCUGGCACAUGACCCCUAUUCUCAUUUAAAAAAAUCAUCGAUUACGUCAUCACGUCCAGAUGGAUGACGUCACUAGUAUACCAUAUAUGCCACAAUAUCGUAACUUAAAAAUAAAAAUCGACCUGUUUCGGGAUUUUAGUCGCCGGUUUAGGAAAUUACGAAUUUAUUCCUUUCAUUUGUACCAUACUGUCGGUGGAAAAUAGUGUCGCGCACGCUUGAUUAGCAAUUAAAAAACAAAGGAGUUUUGAAUAUUGUGUUGCAAAAAACUCUUCGGGAUUUCAUCAAUCGAUGUUUAAAGAAUAUCUACGUGCCUUGGCAACAUUCAAAUUUUCAGUUUUUCACAUAGUUUUUGAGAGUUAAAAAUGGCCGAUUUCGCAAUUUUUCAAUUUUUAAUCGCUUAUAUGUCAAAAACUAUCAUUUUUAGAGAAAAGUCACUAAAGACCUUUUCUGUUUGGAAUAAUCCAAAAAACCUAAAAAACUUUUUUCCAUGCAAAAAAAAUAAUUUUAGAAAAAAAAAACAAAAAAAAACGUUUAAAAAAUGUUUGACCACCUUUUGGUCCUGGCAACAUGCAAAUUUGUUAAAAGGAGUCCUUUUUGAGUAAGAUUGUGCAAAAAAUCCGAAUUAGAAUAUUUUUCCUAGCGGAUCCGCAGUGGCUUUCUGGACUAACAAGUCUUACAGUCUUUUCCAAUUUAAAAACAUUAGACUUUCUAGAACUAAUGUUUUUUUGAGAUCGCAGCGCCCUAGAUUGCGAAAGAGGUUACUUAUCAGACCACCAGAAAAUAGCCAGAAUGAUCACCAUAGGCACCAAAAGAAAAAGAAGAAAGAAUCAGACCAGCACAUUCGUGGAGUAUAACGCCAAGAAAAACGACCAACGACCACUAAAAGACAAUGUUACAUUUUUCUAAUGGUUGAGGCGGAUUUUAGAGAUGACACAUACUCAUGCAACCUAUGUAUCAGUAUAUAAUUGUUGCAACGUCUUAAUACUAUUUUUGCUUUUAUUUUUUUAUUUUAUUACCAAAGGAAAUCGUUGACGUCCAUAAAAUGGAUGGUUUAUGUACUCAUAGCUUGACUAUGCAAUCGUACUUCAGAAACGGUGAAACUUAUAUUAUUGUACUCAAUAUAAAAACUUAUUGUCA